ACCUUCGUGGUGUAGUGGUCAGCACGCUCGACGCGCAACCGAGAGGUCCGUGGUUCGAUUCCCGGCGAAGGCG
rnacentral:tRNA from 1 species